UUAUGGCUCAGGACGAACGCUGGCGGCAUGCCUAACACAUGCAAGUCGAACGGGACUCUUAACGACCGAGGCUUCGGCCAAGUGAAUAUGAGUUAGUGGCGGACGGGUGAGUAACGCGUGAGCAACCUGCCUUUCAGAGGGGGACAACAGUUGGAAACGACUGCUAAUACCGCAUGACAUACAGAGGGGGCAUCCUUUCUGUAUCAAAGAUUUAUCGCUGAAAGAUGGGCUCGCGUCUGAUUAGAUAGUUGGCGGGGCAACGGCCCACCAAGUCGACGAUCAGUAGCCGGACUGAGAGGUUGAACGGCCACAUUGGGACUGAGAUACGGCCCAGACUCCUACGGGAGGCAGCAGUGGGGAAUAUUGGUCAAUGGGGGGCCAACCCUGAACCAGCAAUGCCGCGUGAAGGAAGAAGGCCUUCGGGUUGUAAACUUCUUUGACGAGGGACGAUAAUGACGGUACCUCGAAAACAAGCCACGGCUAACUACGUGCCAGCCGCCGC
rnacentral:rRNA from 1 species